GUAUGCAGGUCGUGUUCAGGUCCUUGACACACAGAGAGGACGCUCCACUCUGAGAAUCACUGACCUGAGAGAGAGCGACUCAGCUGAGUAUCACUUCAAAUUCAACACAUGGAGCUUUGAAUGGAGGAGUAGUUUACCUGGUACAACUCUGACUGUCACAGAUCCAGAUCUCCAGGUUCAGGUGAUCAGAUCAACAGACUACACAUAUAAUCAGGCAGACCUGCUUUGUUACAGCAGCUGUCGUCUACCUGAUCAUUCUUCCUACAUCUGGUACAAGAAUGGACAGAAAAUUCAGACAGAAACAUCUUCUUCUUAUUCUGACUACUUUGAUUCUGCAGACAGUUAUUCCUGUGCUGUGAAAGGACUGGAGGGUUUCCCCUCUCUUUCAGUGUGUGAGUUUACUCCACAAUCUUUUACUAAUAUAACACCAUCUGGUGGAGCUGUAUAACUACAGAACAUGUAUUUGUAAUAAAGAGACCCUCACUGUGA